GGGCUUUCCUUUGUGCUUGAUCUAACCAUGUGGUGGAACGAUGGAAACGGAACAUGGUUCUGUCAAGCACCGCG
rnacentral:miRNA from 1 species